rnacentral:rRNA from 1 species
UACAGAGGUCUCAAGCGUUGUUCGGAUUCAUUGGGCGUAAAGGGCGCGUAGGCUGCGGGGCAAGUCGGGUGUGAAAUCUCAGAGCUCAACUCUGAAACUGCACUCGAUACUGCUUUGCUUGAGGACUGGAGAGGAGAUUGGAAUUCACGGUGUAGCAGUGAAAUGCGUAGAUAUCGUGAGGAAGACCAGUGGCGAAGGCGGAUCUCUGGACAGUUCCUGACGCUGGAGGCGCGGAAGGCCAGGGGAGCAAACGGG